rnacentral:rRNA from 1 species
AGUGAACGCUGGCGGCAGGCCUAACACAUGCAAGUCGAGCGGCAGCGCGUCCGACCACCCUCGGGUGGUCGGAUGGCGGCGAGCGGCGGACGGGUGAGGAAUGCAUCGGAAUCUGCCUCGUUGUGGGGGAUAACGUAGGGAAACUUACGCUAAUACCGCAUACGACCUACGGGUGAAAGUGGGGGACCUUCGGGCCUCACGCGAUGAGAUGAGCCGAUGCCGGAUUAGCUAGUUGGCGGGGUAAAGGCCCACCAAGGCGACGAUCCGUAGCUGGUCUGAGAGGAUGAUCAGCCACACUGGAACUGAGACACGGUCCAGACUCCUACGGGAGGCAGCAGUGGGGGAAUAUUGGACAAUGGGGGCAACCCUGAUCCAGCCAUGCCGCGUGUGUGAAGAAGG